UUUUUAGAGAAUGCAUCAUUAACAAAUAGCUCUAGAAGAGCCUCUACACCACUACCUAUUUUAAACACCUAAAUUCACCUACAUGGGAAGCUUGGCUCCCAAGUAACCCUUUGGUAAAGAAAUGGACUAACAAGCCAAAACUUCCUUGGACUACCAUUUUCAUAUUUCCCUAUGGGGAAUUUGGUUGGUAAGAAAUGAUCGUGUAUUUGGUAAUUCUCAUCCUAUAGAAAAUUUUUAAAGUAGAUUCCUUGCAACAAUAGGUGAAUUUGUUGCCAUCUCC
rnacentral:lncRNA from 1 species